rnacentral:tRNA from 1 species
GGUUGUGGCUUAAUGGUAGAGCACUCGCCUCGCACGCAUGAGGCACUGGGUUUGAUCCUCAGCACCA